ensembl:lncRNA
GGAGAGUGUAUACGCAUGCACAGCUUUGCAGGCCCACCUGGCCAUAUGUGCGCGACAGAAUCUUUGCGUGUGAGCGAACACCAUUAGCCGGGCGAGUGUGAAUGCGGGCGUGUGGACGCGGGCCAGACACAGCGUGAACAGCUCAACGCAAAGCAGACCUUCAUCCCGUAACCCCCUACUACUGUAUAUCACCCGCCAUCAUAAGUAUGCAAUCUCAACAGUUGCGCCUGCCUUCCUACUUAGAAAUGUUUCAAUUUGUCAUACAAGCAGGAAAGUUGUCAGCACCUGAGGUGUGGAGUGUACGAAAAGGUCAUCCGCUAAUGUUAAUGGAGUUACAAAAAACACAACCAUGCAUCAUUAUGGACGGAAGGUAUUGUUAAAUAAUGACUAAAGAAUAACGCGCUGGUUGCCUCAGGACAACUCAGUGAGUCGGUGAAUAAUAUUGUACUCAACACUUUGAAACAGUAAAAAGAAAAAUUGCAUUUUAGUUCAAAAAGUUGGUCUCAAAGACGUCACCCACUCUGAUUUUGGACAUUUUGAAGUUUGGCAUUUUUGGUUCUUUUAUUUUUUUGGACCGUACACACAGGAGAACGUAGUUACAAGUUCAACCAAAUGGGACCCAAAUCUGAAAUAUGUCAAAUUUCUGAAAUCAGGUUAAAGUGACCCUCAGCAGCCACUAAAUCAUUACCUGCUUUAUGGUCUGAUUUGCUCUAAAUGGGAGCAUAAGUUACAAUCUGAACAUCAGCUUUUGUCAAGAAGACUAGAAAAUAGCGAUUGAGAUGAUUGAUUGAGACCAUAAACUCAUGUUCAAUGUUUUUUUGAGCUACUAUAAUUUAGAAGUAGAAGAAGUCAUUUUCCCAUAGACUUCUGUACAAUCCGGCUUCUUAAAAACCAAAGGAUUCACAGUUUCACUGCACUCUUUUUUCACUUUUCAGAACCGGCGAUUGCAUCUAACUAGAAGCUUUAUGAGACUCUCAGUGGUCAAAACUGUGUCCGUCUCCCCCCAAGACUCUAAAAAUGGAGUGUGGGUGUAUGUAUUAAAGAAAGAGGAAACGUAUCUCCUAACAAGUGAUUCAAAUGUUGUUGUCCAGAUGCUUUUAGGGGAAAAUAAAGCGAAAUAUUUCCAGGUAAUUUGGGACUCACCAGGGACAACUGAUUUUGUGAUGCGAAAACACAUUUUCUUUCACCGUGUACUUUUCUGCAUUACUUUUCAAAUGAUUCUAAUUCUUUUGAGCUUAUUCAUCUUAUUUGUGGUUGUUUUCAAUGGUUUUCAGGGGUUUUGGACAGUUACUUACACAGCUCAACAUUACAUAACUGUAUUAAAUGCAGCCCCUGGGGACAGAAGAAGUAGGGGAGACACAUUUUGACUGCUCUACUUACGGGGCCAAUGCUGUAACCAAAAUAAAUUGCUUCCUUGUAGCAAUCCUGCAGUACUAAUGCGGGAUAGCUGCACGUAAGGCGGAAUUUCUACA